AAAAUGGUUCCACUUGGAACCACCACACACGCAGAACCAGUGCAGU
rfam:Ostreococcus tauri, RCC4221, WGS project CAID01000000 data, contig: 15, chromosome: 15